CUUCUCUGAUGGCGAAUGCCCCGGGAACAAGAAGUGCUGCAGCUGGGAAUGGACCAAGAAAUGCCUUGAUCCUGUUUAAGGGCUGACCUCGGAGGAGGUCUGGAUCCAUGGACAGUGACCACCAGAGAAGUCUGGCCAGAGCUCCUCUGCCCACCUCUGCUGCUCCAUCCAAGUCCACAUCCUGCCCUGCGUCAUCCAAACUUGACCCACUAAUGAGGGUCCCAACUCUCCUUCCAUUAACAAUAAAUGGACCAGCCUCCUGCA